GGUACAUCGGCAGACAUAUUUACCAUUACGCAUAUAGGUUACCCCGAAGAACUCGAGAUAUAUAGAAGUUAGAUUUGUUUCGAACCUCUUCAGAUUGUCAGCAAUGGAAAGCACGGGUAAAAAUAUGCAGAUGUAUAGACAGGGAGGAUAUGACAAGAAUGUUCACUAUGGACCAUUAAUCAACUGUUUGCACUGCCUAUGAUCCUGAAAUAUCUAUACAUCAAAGAUAACAAGGAAAAGAUGAAGGAAAAUUUGUCCAGGAAGAACUUUAUUGCAACUACCAUCUUCCAGUUCCUUAAUUUGAGAAUUAUAUCAGUGAACACACAGUUACAGUGAAAUAUUAGUUUAAUAUAAGCCACUGAGAAUAGUCAAAUGUACUUUUCUGAAGAAAGUGAAUGACAUCCAGCACAAAAAUCUUAAUGUAAAAGAGUAUGAUUUUAUAGUGUUUGACACUAUGAUUCUAUAAUCUAGUUAACUUGUUAAUGUCACAAUGAUAGAAACAGAGUCAAAUAUCCACAUUUCAUUGCAGUUUUAAGUUUACCAAAGUAGAAAACACACCAGAGAUAAAAACUUUCAUGGAAUCACAUUAAAUGACUAUGAUGUAAAGAUGAAAGGGAAAACAAAAUAGAAAAAAUAUUAUAUAUCAUCUACAUCUAAUAUUGUUAGUGUAAUCAUUGAUAAGCUUACAAAUUGCAUUCAAACUUUUGAUACCAAGCUGACCAUUUUUCAAUUAGAAUAUGAUUUAUAACUUCAUGAUAGUUUGUUCGUGUAAAUUUUCAAAGUCUUUACAUUUGUAAAAGGAAAUAUGCCUAUUCUUGUAUCAGUAGACAUUCAGAGUGUAAAGUCACAUUGUCCAAAUAACUAAUAAUAAUUUCAAGUGCUUUCCUGAAGUUUUUUUUUCCACUGGAAAAUCAGUGUGAUAUAUUUGCAAAGGAGUGGACUAUAAUUUGUGUAAAAAUAAAAGUUUA